rnacentral:rRNA from 1 species
UACGAAGGGGGCUAGCGUUGUUCGGAAUUACUGGGCGUAAAGCGCACGUAGGCGGACAUUUAAGUCAGGGGUGAAAUCCCAGAGCUCAACUCUGGAACUGCCUUUGAUACUGGGUGUCUUGAGUAUGGAAGAGGUGAGUGGAAUUCCGAGUGUAGAGGUGAAAUUCGUAGAUAUUCGGAGGAACACCAGUGGCGAAGGCGGCUCACUGGACUGGUAUUGACGCUGAGGUGCGAAAGCGUGGGGAGCAAACAGG